rnacentral:rRNA from 1 species
CCUACGGGAGGCAGCAGUGAGGAAUAUUGGACAAUGGGCGCAAGCCUGAUCCAGCCAUGCCGCGUGCAGGAAGAAGCAUCUAUGGUGUGUAAACUGCUUUUGUACAGGAAGAAACACUCCCUCGUGAGGGAGCUUGACGGUACUGUAAGAAUAAGGACCGGCUAACUCCGUGCCAGCAGCCGCGGUAAUACGGAGGGUCCGAGCGUUAUCCGGAAUCAUUGGGUUUAAAGGGUCCGUAGGCGGUUUAAUAAGUCAGUGGUGAAAUCUGGUCGCUCAACGAUCAAACGGCCAUUGAUACUGUUAGACUUGAAUUAUAAGGAAGUAACUAGAAUAUGUAGUGUAGCGGUGAAAUGCUUAGAUAUUACAUGGAAUACCAAUUGCGAAGGCAGGUUACUACUUAUGGAUUGACGCUGAUGGACGAAAGCGUGGGGAGCGAACAGGAUUAGAUACCCUGGUAGUCCACGCCGUAAACGAUGGAUACUAGCUGUUCGGAGCAAUCUGAGUGGCUAAGCGAAAGUGAUAAGUAUCCACCUGGGGAGUAACGUUGCAAGAAUGAAACUUCAAAGANAGUUGGCGNGNGAGAGCGACGACGACGACAGGAGGAGGAG